GUAAUGUUGCUCUGUGUUCAUAAUCCAAAUACUAGACAGCUAAUUAUGAAAGAGCGACCUCUGCUGGACACCUGCCACACCUGCUAGAGCUGAUGGAAAGAAAAGGAAAAUUAUUAAAAGACAAACGGGAUGGCAUACUCAUUAGAAGUGAUUAACAACAGUAAAGCUGGUACUUGUACUUCAAUCACUUUUCUGAGUGGACGAAAUAACAGCAUCAGAUAAUUCAGCAUCGUCCGUAGUGAUUAUAAAACACGUCCAUCUGUCCUCGUCCUCUCAGAUGGACCGUGUCAGCAAGUUUUAAUUGGCUAUGCGGGUUCCUGUGGGUGGCGCUCCUGAGAUCCGAACAGGAAGUGAGGCGCCAGCCCCAGUGCAUUGUGGGACUGUCGGUGAGACAGGCACGUGGAGGAGCUUCGGUUACAAUCAGUGCCGGAUCUUAUCGCGUGAGAUCCAUCGAUUGAAGGCAACAGAAAGGAAACGAAGAGGGAGAUGUUUGAGGAACGAGGGUGGAAGGUGAUUCAUGAGUUCUGUUGUGUUCCUGAAAUGUACCUCCUUUUAGACAGCACAGGGUUUUUGACUGAAAUAUUGGUAUUUAAACCCUCCGUAAGUUCAUUAGCAGCAUGCUGUUCCUGUGCAGCAGAAGAGCAAAGCGUCAAGUCAGCGUCAUAAAGUCAACAUGAAAUGGCGUUCACGAUGUGACAUCAUUCUGGAUAUUCAACUGGGAUUUUAUCCAUCAGGAGUAGAGCAGAUGAUAGAAAGUGGACGUUGCAUACCAGAAUGGCUAUUAUUGCUGUCAUUUGCAUUAUAUUAACCAGCAUUAAGUUACUAUGUUAACUAUUUGCAAAAAACUACCUAUAUUAGUAGUCUUAAAAAGGCCCAGGUAACUAUUUGGCUAUUGGUUAAGAUUAUUUUUCUCCCAGAGGCCCAUAAGACAGUUUUGGAAACAUUUGGAAAACUUUACAAAAAAACUGUGUAAAUACUGCAAAACAAAUGAAUGAAUGAAUGAAUGAAUAAAUAAAUAAACAAAUAAAUAAAUAUUUUAAAUUAUUAAAUUGUUUAUUAAGUUUAAAUAAAUAUUAAAACAUUAUUAUUAUUAUUAAAUAUUUAAAAAUAUUAAUAUUAUUUAUUAAGUAUUUAAAAUAAAUAAAUACAAUACUUAACAUUAUUUUAAUAAUCAGUUAAGAUUAUUUUAAGAUUAUUUUAAGGGAGUUGUAAGGAUGUUUUAGGGGAAACACUGAAAAGUAAAAAAAAAAACAAACAAACAAACAAACAAACAAACAAACAAAACAGUGCAAACACUGUAAAAAUAAGAAUAAACAAAUGAAUUUGAUUAAAUAAUUGUUAAAAUGAUUUUAUAAAAAAUAUUUAAAUAAAUACAUAUAUAAAUAAACCAAGUGUAUCCAAUUAAAGUACUAUAUAAAUAAUGAAAUACAAUAACUAAAUAUUUUCCAAAAAAUAUUUCACACAUAUUUAUAAUAUUAUUUUUCACAGUAUAAAUUGGGUCUUUAAACAUGAAAAUAUAUAUAUAUAUGUAUUUCAAAUUUUAUAAUGGGGUUCUCUCACAUGAGGAUGAUCAUAUUUCUGGGGUCAAUGGCAUCUAAAAAAUAAUUGAAAACCCCUGAUCUACAUUAUGUUAGCCAAUUGGAAAAUGAUUUUUGGGUCAGAGCAUGUUAUUAUAUUUUGAUUAUGACCAAUAGUUUUGCACUGAUGACACAAUAGGUGCACUGUAAGAUCAGGAUUGUGUGUUAGGAUAGUAAACAGAGUCGGUAUUUCAUGUUGACUUUAAGCUCAAUAUAAAUGUGACAAUCCAGGCUGAGCUAUUAUCACGCAGAAAACAGACGAAUGCACGUAAGUUAAUAAAGUCAGCCAGCAUUAAAUGUGUAUCAUCUUAUUGGAAAAGUACUUUCACUUAAAACAGACUGGACAGAAACUGAAUCACUGUAAUCUGCUUUCAGGCUCUGUUACCCAUUCUUUAGGCUUUAGAUCAGAUCUUUAGUCCGUUCACACUAAAACCAAAUCACUGUAAUCUGGUUUUAGUCUCCUUUUUCCAUUCUUCUGGCUUUAAAUCAAAUCUUUAGUCUGUUCACAACAAAACUGAAUCACCAUAAUUCAGUUUCAGUCUUUGUUUCCCAUUCUUUAGGCUUAAAAUCAGUUCUUCAGUCUGUUCACA